rnacentral:lncRNA from 10 species
GCUACAUGAGGCUGGCGUAAGCACAGAGAGCCAGUUGGGGGAACAGUAGUGUCUGGAGGGAAGGGGGAAGAAUCUUCAUCCACUCCAUUGUCUGAAUUGUUCACCCGGUAACUUUUGCCAUGACAAUUUUACAAAUUAAGGUUUUCUUUUAAAAUUGAGGAAUAAUUGACAUUUCAUCAAGGGCACAGAUCUUCAGCAUGGAGCGUAGACCCAAGGGACCACCACAAAGCUCAAGAUGUAGGACAUCUCCAUCAAUUCAGGAGGCUCCCUCCGGGUUACCCCCACUCCAGAGACAGGGUCUCAUUUUGUUGCUGAGGCUGGAGUGCGGUGGCACAAACGUGGCUCACUGCAGGCUUGACGUUCUGGGCUCAAGUGAUCCUCCCAUCUUGGCCUCCCGAGUAGCUGGGACCACAGGCCAUGAUACUGCUGGUGGUGCAGAACGGAGUUUAGACAAGGAGGUGCAUGGCCGAGAGCAAUCUGGAAACGAUCAGAGAGGCCAGUUGCGUAAUGAUGGAGAAGCCGCUGUUUUGCAGCCACGAAAAUCAUGCCUGGAGAGAGAAUGUUCCGGGAUGUGAAAUUAUUCACAAUCUAUUGUUCAAAGAAGACAGUUGAUUAUGGGACGGAAGAGCUCCAGGAGAAGAGAGCUAAGCCAGCCCUUGGGAUGACUACAAGAGGACCGGGGGAGACAGGGAAACACAAGGGGAGUAGAAGGCUUCAGUAGAAGAUUUCAGUAGAGGCUGAAAUCUACUGAUAUGUACACCUCCAAGGACACAUGUGUCACAUCAGAAUAGUUGCUGAAUCCCACUGGGCCUCUAUUUCCUCAUGUGUAAAAUGGGAAUAAUAAAGCUCCUACU